rnacentral:rRNA from 1 species
UACGUAGGGGUCGAGCGUUGUCCGGAGUACUGGGCGUAAAGCGUGCGCAGGCGGCUCAUUGCGCCCGGCGUGAAAGCCCCCGGCUCAACCGGGGAGGGUCGUCGGGGACGGGUGAGCUUGAGGGUAUCAGGGGUUGGUGGAAUUCCCGGUGUAGUGGUGAAAUGCGUAGAUAUUGGGAGGAACACCAGUGGCGAAGGCGGCUAC